GGCUAAUGUUUGUGUGCAUAGCGUCCACUAAUGCCUGCUGGAAUACACUAUGACACCAAGAGUUGCAGCACUGCUCCAUGAAAAUAAGCAGCCUACCUCCACAACUUAGGUAUUUCUCAUCAGAGGUCUAAUAUGGCUUUGGAGUUUAUAAUGUCCCUCUGGCAUUAACCAGGUCUUGUGAUCUCCCAGAAUAACCAUUUCCUCACCCAAGUGCUAGAUAAGAAACCGCAUUCCAGCUUCUUUGCUGGCCCACGAGGCAAAGACGACUUCGUUUGCAUCUCAAUAUCUUACCUGGUCACAGGAAUUGAGGAAUGAUGCAACGGAUUUCUUGCCCUGCAGGAAAGAUCGGGUGGGGGUCCUAGCACCACCUCUACUUCGGGGUUAGGAUUUCUCAAUAGCAGUAUUACUUUCCUGUGAGGUUUUCUGAUGAAGGUAUUUUUUUUUAUGCGUGGAAAAGAUGAGUUCUUCUGGUUUCUUUUUUUUUUUUUCUUUUACCUUAUUUUUUUUAAUAGAGCUUUGAUGCUGAGUAAUAUUUGAAGUCAGCUUUGAAGCUUUGACCGUAGUGUAACUCACAUACUUAAAAUUUUAAACUUCAAUUUGAUUGAUUCCUCAUUCAUUACUCAGUGUUUCCUCUUGAUUUCUGGCAGGUAGUAAUUUCUGUGUUUUGGGAGAUUUGUGAUUUUGAAAGCUAACCAAGGGAAAUAGUGGGAGGAUGUGGGGAAAUAUUGUCUUGAAGUGCUGAUGUAGAAGCCCACAAAUACAGAACAAUGUCCACAUUGUAUUGAUGUUUCUCUAUAAUUUAAAGGACAUUGGUGAUCUUUUCCUUCUUAUACUAAGGAGGAUAUUUUUUACUUAGAGAUAAUUUUUACUCCAAAGUGGUUACCAUUUCCUGACUCUCCUAAUUUAAAAUUUUAUUGUAACAAGUUGGAAAUCUCAAAUCUUGUCUGUAUUGUAAAGUUCCUCUGACCAAGACUAUUUUUUUACUGCCCGUACAUACUCUAGAGAUCAGAGUGAAGAUGUUUUAGCAGAUUUCAAAAGUUUCGGGAGGAUUUCAUAUACUGUUUCAUAUAUGAAAUCACAUUUGGUUUAAACAAUGAUCCAACAUUUCUUUUUUGAAAUAGAAGCAGUAGUAAAGUUAGAGAAUUAUAAAUCUUUAAGUGCUCAGGUUAGAUGUUCGUGCUUUUGCAAGCCAUUGUAAACAGUUGCAGAGCAUGAAAGACAAAUCUAUCUGUCUCCUGUUGUUCUUGGAGCAGUAGUGUCUAAAGGG